rnacentral:rRNA from 1 species
GGCCCUGUUCCCAUCAGCUAGUUGGUAGGGUAAUGGCCUACCAAGGCUCUGACGGGUAGGGGGUGUGAGAGCACGACCCCCCACAAUGGCACUGAGACACGGGCCAUACGACUACGGUCGGCAGCAACUGGGAAUAUUCGGCAAUGGGCGAAAGCCUGACCGAGCGACACCGCGUGAAGGAUGAAGUAUUUCGGUAUGUAAACUUCUUUUGCCAAAGGGUCGACCUUUGGCGAAUAAGCACCUACAAACUACGUGCCAGCAGUCGCGGUAAUACGUAGGGUGCAAGCGUUAUCCGGAUUCACUGGGCGUAAAGAGUCGUGUAGGCGGCUUGCCGCAUCGCACUUGAAAGCCCGAGGCUUAACCUC